AUUGAACGCUGGCGGCAUGCCUUACACAUGCAAGUCGAACGGCAUCACGGGAGCAAUCCUGGUGGCGAGUGGCGAACGGGUGAGUAAUAUAUCGGAACGUGCCCAGUCGUGGGGGAUAACGCAGCGAAAGCUGUGCUAAUACCGCAUACGAUCUAAGGAUGAAAGCGGGGGAUCGCAAGACCUCGCGCGAUUGGAGCGGCCGAUAUCAGAUUAGCUAGUUGGUGGGGUAAAGGCCCACCAAGGCGACGAUCUGUAGCUGGUCUGAGAGGACGACCAGCCACACUGGAACUGAGACACGGUCCAGACUCCUGCGGGAGGCAGCAGUGGGGAAUUUUGGACAAUGGGCGCAAGCCUGAUCCAGCAAUGCCGCGUGCAGGAUGAAGGCCUUCGGGUUGUAAACUGCUUUUGUACGGAACGAAACGGCCCUUUCUAAUACAGGGGGCUAAUGACGGUACCGUAAGAAUAAGCACCUGCUAACUACGUGCCAGCCGCCGCCGUAACAC
rnacentral:rRNA from 1 species